rnacentral:rRNA from 1 species
GACGAACGCUGGCGGCGUGCUUAACACAUGCAAGUCGAACGGAAAGGCCCUGCUUUUGUGGGGUGCUCGAGUGGCGAACGGGUGAGUAACACGUGAGUAACCUGCCCUUGACUUUGGGAUAACUUCAGGAAACUGGGGCUAAUACCGGAUAGGGGCUCCUGCUGCAUGGUGGGGGUUGGAAAGUUUCGGCGGUUGGGGAUGGACUCGCGGCUUAUCAGCUUGUUGGUGGGGUAGUGGCUUACCAAGGCUUUGACGGGUAGCCGGCCUGAGAGGGUGACCGGCCACAUUGGGACUGAGAUACGGCCCAGACUCCUACGGGAGGCAGCAGUGGGGAAUAUUGCACAAUGGGCGGAAGCCUGAUGCAGCAACGCCGCGUGCGGAAUGACGGCCUUCGGGUUGUAAACCGCUUUCGCCUGUGACGAAGCGUGAGUGACGGUAAUGGGUAAAGAAGCACCGGCUAACUACGUG